CAUUAGUAGGCCUCAGUAAAUGUUUAUUGGAUGAAUAAAUGAAUGACUCAUCAACAAACAUUUAUCGUGUGCCUGCUAAGGUG
rfam:Canis lupus familiaris chromosome X, whole genome shotgun sequence.